UCUUCCCUCUUUCUUCGUGCCUAAUACAUGCAAGUCGAGCGAUCAGACGAGGAGCUUGCUCCUCUGACGUUAGCGGCGGACGGGUGAGUAACACGUGGAUAACCUACCUAUAAGACUGGGAUAACUUCGGGAAACCGGAGCUAAUACAGGAUAAUAUAUUGAACCGCAUGGUUCAAUAGUGAAAGACGGUUUUGCUGUCACUUAUAGAUGGAUCCGCGCCGCAUGAGCUAGUUGGUAAGGUAACGGCUUACCAAGGCAACGAUGCGUAGCCGACCUGAGAGGGUGAUCGCCCACCCUGGAACUGAGACACGGUCCAGACUCCUAAGGGAGGCAGCAGUAGGGAAUCUUCCGCAAUGGGCGAAAGCCUGACGGAGCAACGCCGCGUGAGUGAUGAAGGUCUUCGGAUCGUAAAACUCUGUUAUUAGGGAAGAACAAAUGUGUAAGUAACUAUGCACGUCUUGACGGUACCUAAUCAGAAAGCCACGGCUAACUACGUG
rnacentral:rRNA from 1 species